UACGGGGGGGGCAAGCGUUGUUCGGAAUUACUGGGCGUAAAGGGCUCGUAGGCGGCCAACUAAGUCGGAUGUGAAAUCCCCAGGCUUAACCUGGGAACUGCAUCCGAUACUGGAUGGCUUGAAUUCGGGAGAGGGAUGCAGAAUUCCAGGUGUAGCGGUGAAAUGCGCAGAUAUCAGGAGGAACACCGGUGGCGAAGGCGGGUCUCUGGGCAGUAACUGACGCUGAGGAGCGAAAGCGUGGGGAGCGAACAGG
rnacentral:rRNA from 1 species